rnacentral:rRNA from 1 species
UACGUAGGGUGCGAGCGUUAAUCGGAAUUACUGGGCGUAAAGCGUGCGCAGGCGGUUUUGUAAGCCAGAUGUGAAAUCCCCGGGCUUAACCUGGGAAUGGCAUUUGGGACUGCAAGGCUCGAGUGCGGCAGAGGAGACUGGAAUUCCUGGUGUAGCAGUGAAAUGCGUAGAUAUCAGGAGGAACACCGAUGGCGAAGGCAGGUCUCUGGGCUGACACUGACGCUCAUGCACGAAAGCCGUGGGGA